GACGAACGCUGGCGGCGUGCUUAACACAUGCAAGUCGAACGGAAAGGCCCUGCUUUUUUGGUGUGCUCGAUUGGCGAACGCGUGCGUAACACGUGAGUAACCUGCUCUUCACUUUGGUGUAACUUCAGGAAGCUGGGGCUACUACCGGAUCGGAGCUCCUGCUGCAUUGUGGGCGUUGGAAAGUUGCGGCGGGUGGGGAUGGACUCGCGGCUUAUCAGCUUGUUGGUGGGGUAGUGGCUUACCAAGGCUUUGACUGGUAGCCGGCAGGAGAGGGUGACCGGGCACAUUGGGCCUGAGAUACGGCCCAGACUCCUACGGGAGGCAGCAGUGGGGAACAUUGCCCAAUGGGCGGAAGCCGGAUGCAGCAACGCCGCGGGCGGGAUGACGGCCUUCGGGUUGUAAACCGCUUUCGCCUGUGACGAAGCGUGAGUGACGGUAAUGGGUAAAGAAGCACCGGCUAACUACGUG
rnacentral:rRNA from 1 species